CCCUGGUUACCUCAGCCGGUGGAGCGCUCCACUGGAAAUGGAGAGGUCCCGGGUUCGAUACCCGGACCAGGCG
rfam:Ixodes scapularis strain Wikel colony gcontig_1108379051100, whole genome shotgun sequence.